rnacentral:rRNA from 1 species
CCUACGGGUGGCAGCAGUGGGGAAUAUUGCACAAUGGGCGAAAGCCUGAUGCAGCAACGCCGCGUGAGUGAUGAAGGCCCUCGGGUCGUUAAACUCUGUCCUCAAGGAAGAUACUGACGGUACUUGAGGAGGAAGCCCCGGCUAACUACGUACCAGCAGCCGCGGUAAUACGUAGGGGGCUAGCGUUAUCCGGAUUGACUGGGCGUAAAGGGUGCGUAGGCGGUCUUUCAAGUCAGGGGUGAAAGGCUACGGAUAAACCGUAGUAAGUUCUUGAAACUGGGCGACUUGAGUGCAGGAGAGGUGAGUGGAAUUCGUGGUGUAGCGGUGAAAUGCGUAGAUAUUAGGAGGAACACCAGUUGCGAAGGCGGCUCUCUGGACUGCAACUGACGCUGAGGCACGAAAGCGUGGGGAGCAAACAGGAUUAGAUACCCUUGUAGUC